rnacentral:rRNA from 1 species
GACGAACGCUGGCGGCGUGCCUAACACAUGCAAGUCGAGCGGAGGUACUUGAGGAGUAAUCUGAGGGUACUUUAGCGGCGGACGGGUGAGUAACGCGUGAGCAACCUGCCUUUCACAGGGGGAUAAGGCGGCGAAAGCCGCUCUAAUACCGCAUGAGACCACGGGGAUGAUAUUCCAAGGGUCAAAGGAGCAAUCCGGUGAGAGAUGGGCUCGCGUCCGAUUAGGUAGUUGGUGAGGUAACGGCCCACCAAGCCAAUGAUCGGUAGCCGGCCUGAGAGGGUGAACGGCCACAUUGGAACUGAGAGACGGUCCAGACUCCUACGGGAGGCAGCAGUGGGGAAUAUUGCACAAUGGGCGAAAGCCUGAUGCAGCAACGCCGCGUGAGUGAUGAAGGCCUCGGUUGUAAGCUCUGUCUUUGGGUACGGAGUAAUGACGGUACCCGAACGGAGGAAGGACCACGGCUAACUACGUGCCAGCAGCCGCGGUAACUAGUAGUCGU